rnacentral:rRNA from 1 species
UACGUAGGGUGCGAGCGUUGUCCGGAAUUAUUGGGCGUAAAGGGCUCGUAGGCGGUUUGUCGCGUCGGGAGUGAAAACCAGGUAGCUUAACACCUGGCUUGCUUUCGAUACGGGCAGACUAGAGGUAUGCAGAGGAGAUUGGAAUUCCUGGUGUAGCGGUGGAAUGCGCAGAUAUCAGGAGGAACACCGAUGGCGAAGGCAGAUCGUCUGGGCCGUAACUGACGCUGAGGAGCGAAAGCGUGGGGAGCGAACAGG